rnacentral:rRNA from 1 species
GACGUAGGGCGCAAGCGUUGUCCGGAUUUAUUGGGCGUAAAGAGCUCGUAGGCGGCUUGGUAAGUCAGGUGUGAAAUCUCCACGCUCAACGUGGAGGGGCCACCCGAAACUGCCAUGGCUUGAGUCCGGUAGGGGAGUGUGGAAUUCCCGGUGUAGCGGUGAAAUGCGCAGAUAUCGGGAGGAACACCCGUAGCGAAGGCGGCACUCUGGGCCGGUACUGACGCUGAGGAGCGAAAGCGUGGGGAGCAAACAGG